CUCACUGUUGUAAUUUUGAAAGAAAGACUGCCCUUUUUAUUUACUUAAAGACACGACAUGCCACAUGUUAAUUGGCACGAUAAAAGACAUCCACUGUUCCCCUCAAAGACUACUUCUAAAACCAGCAAGACCUGCAUCAUAUAGAAAUUUAGCUAUUUUUCUCUGUUUAAUUCUUCAAGUAAUAUUGUGUUUUUGUGAUUAUGGCUAAUGGGCAAGCACCAACCAACCCCGUUCCUGCUAUGAGAACAUACCCGCCAGUGGAGCAUCCAGUGGUGGUAAUAGGGCCUAGGGCCACAGUACCUGGCACAGUACCCUGUUGAACUCGCCGUCUCCAGAAAGCUAUGGAGUCUUGGAGAAAAUUAUUUUAAGGUGUCUGACAUUAAUGGCACCCUCAUCUUCCAAGUCAAGAGUAAACUCUUAAGCUUGCAUGAUCGUCGUUUUCUGAAAGAUGCAGCUGGUAACAUCCUUGUCAAUCUCAGGCAGAAGAUAAUGAUCUGCAUCAAAGGUGGGAAGCUUUUAGAGGAGAAAGCAAGGAGGAGAAAGACUUGCUUUUCACAGCCAAGAAAUCAAAGCUGUUCCAAUUCAAGACUGAGUUAGACGUAUUCUUGGGUAAUAACAAAGGAGAGGUCCCUGAUUUCAAGGUGAAAGGAGGCUACAGCGAGAGUUCCUGCUCUAUACUUCUCGGAGAUUCCAAUACCAUGCUUGCACAAAUUCAUAGAAAACAUUCUCUCGCAAGUACUAUCUUGGAUACAGGCAGUUUUGGAGUGACUGUGUAUCCUAAUGUUGAUUAUGCCUUUAUAACUGCUCUUGUGGUGAUUCUUGAUGAGAUCAAUUAAUGCAGAUCGCAGUGGCGAAGAUUAAAUACAACUUUUAUUUUAUUACGAGAGAGAAAUGUCCAAGUUUAAUACCUCUUGUUUUGUUAAAAUAAAUACAAUGUAUGUCUUAUGGCUUUUUUCUAAUGUAAAAUGUAUGUUGUCUGUGAAAUAAAGUGUAAAAUAUAUUAUGUUUGUUAAGUUUUA